rnacentral:rRNA from 1 species
UACGAAGGGGGCUAGCGUUGUUCGGAUUUACUGGGCGUAAAGGGCGCGUAGGCGGCCUGUUAAGUCGAACGUGAAAUCCCCGGGCUCAACCCGGGAACUGCGUCCGAUACUGGCAGGCUUGAAUCCGGGAGAGGGAUGCGGAAUUCCAGGUGUAGCGGUGAAAUGCGUAGAUAUCUGGAGGAACACCGGUGGCGAAGGCGGCAUCCUGGACCGGUAUUGACGCUGAGGCGCGAAAGCCAGGGGAGCAAACGGG